AGGUGGAGUUUUCCCAUGUUGCCCAUGCUGGUCUGGAACUCCUGAGCACAGGUGAUCCACCCGCUUCUGCCUCCCAAAGUGCUGGAAUUACAGGCAUGAGUGACUGCGCCUGACCCAUUUCCUUGUUUCUCUUUUCUUUGUUUUUCCCACCUCCCGUAGAAACAACUGAAGAACAGCAGAAUACAACUAUUCGUUCCCUAGGGCGCCUAAAUUUCCCAGUGUUCCUUUAGAAUCUGAUGAGAUGAGGUUUAGAUCUGAUGACCAUCAAAAGUAAUUGGAUUCUUUACAUUGAUUAUAUUAUAGAAUUGUUUUCAGAAAAGAUAGUCAAGAAAUUUUAGGAAAUGUAAUAUAUAACUAAUUGGUAUAGCCUAUAUGCUGUACCAAUAGGAUAUAUAAUAAGAUAUAUAAGCAACGGUUCAUUAAACCAUCUAAAACUUAGGACUCAGGCCAAUCUUUUAAAUCAUUAGGGAUAUUCUCGGCAUGGACCUCAAGAGAUAGAAAAU
rnacentral:lncRNA from 10 species